rnacentral:rRNA from 1 species
GACGAACGCUGGCGGCGUGCUUAACACAUGCAAGUCGAACGGAAAGGCCCUGCUUUUGUGGGGUGCUCGAGUGGCGAACGGGUGAGUAACACGUGAGUAACCUGCCCUUGACUUUGGGAUAACUUCAGGAAACUGGGGCUAAUACCGGAUAGGAGCUCCUGCUGCAUGGUGGGGGUUGGAAAGUUUCGGCGGUUGGGGAUGGACUCGCGGCUUAUCAGCUUGUUGGUGGGGUAGUGGCUUACCAAGGCUUUGACGGGUAGCCGGCCUGAGAGGGUGACCGGCCACAUUGGGACUGAGAUACGGCCCAGACUCCUACGGGAGGCAGCAGUGGGGAAUAUUGCACAAUGGGCGGAAGCCUGAUGCAGCAACGCCGCGUGCGGGAUGACGGCCUUCGGGCUGUAAACCGCUUUCGCCUGUGACGAAGCGUGAGUGACGGUAAUGGGUAAAGAAGCACCGGCUAACUACGUGCCAGCAGCCGCGGUGAUACGUAGGGUGCGAGCGUUGUCCGGAUUUAUUGGGCGUAAAGGGCUCGUAGGUGGUUGAUCGCGUCGGAAGUGUAAUCUUGGGGCUUAACCCUGAGCGUGCUUUCGAUACGGGUUGACUUGAGGAAGGUAGGGGAGAAUGGAAUUCCUGGUGGAGCGGUGGAAUGCGCAGAUAUCAGGAGGAACACCAGUGGCGAAGGCGGUUCUCUGGGCCUUUCCUGACGCUGAGGAGCGAAAGCGUGGGGAGCGAACAGGCUUAGAUACCCUGGUAGUCCACGCUGUAAACGGUGGGUACUAGGUGUGGGGUCCAUUCCACGGGUUCCGUGCCGUAGCUAACGCUUUAAGUACCCCGCCUGGGGAGUACGGCCGCAAGGCUAAAACUCAAAGGAAUUGACGGGGCCCCGCACAAGCGGCGGAGCAUGCGGAUUAAUUCGAUGCAACGCGUAGAACCUUACCUGGGUUUGACAUGGAUCGGGAGUGCUCAGAGAUGGGUGUGCCUCUUUUGGGGUCGGUUCACAGGUGGUGCAUGGCUGUCGUCAGCUCGUGUCGUGAGAUGUUGGGUUAAGUCCCGCAACGAGCGCAACCCUUGUUCACUGUUGCCAGCACGUUAUGGUGGGGACUCAGUGGAGACCGCCGGGGUCAACUCGGAGGAAGGUGGGGAUGACGUCAAGUCAUCAUGCCCCUUAUGUCCAGGGCCUCACGCAUGCUACAAUGGCUGGUACAGAGAGUGGCGAGCCUGUGAGGGUGAGCGAAUCUCGGAAAGCCGGUCUCAGUUCGGAUUGGGGUCUGCAACUCGACCUCAUGAAGUCGGAGUCGCUAGUAAUCGCAGAUCAGCAACGCUGCGGUGAAUACGUUCCCGGG